UUGACUGUGAGGGCACUCCUUCGUAAACCUCCUGCAGGCUAACCUCUGACCUCCACCUCAGAGUGGUUCUCCAGGAAUCCAGGCUAUUACAGUAACAUGAUUUUUGCAUUAUGGUCAACAAGUUCAUAAAUAAGCAAGAGAGAGAGAGGAAGCACAUGCAGGGGCAGGGGCAGAGGGAGAGGGAGACAAGCAGACUCCCUGCUGAGUGCAGACCUUGACGUGGGGCUCGAUUCCAGAACUCUGAGGUCAUGACCUGAGCCGAAACCAAGAGUCGGACACUUAACACACUGAGCCACCCAGGACAUUUCCUGAGGGCCUGCAAAAGGAAGGCAGGGUAAUUUUUCUCUUGUAUUUUCCAGACCUGUGGCAAAGAGGGCGGGAAACAUUACAUUCUGGCCUACAGUUUACAGAAUAUUGAGCAACAAGACAGGAUCAUGGCAGAACUAGAAGAAUAAUGACAUAAUUCAGAGAUCCUGGAUUUGGUGCUAUUUGCUGUAUUUUGAAACUUUGGGACAUCUCCCUUCCAGAAAAACAUAUUGUUCAAUCAAGAAGGAAUGCGAGCAGGUUGUUCUUCACAGUGCAUUUCGGUGUGCUCUGUUUUUGUGGUGAAGUCUACAGCAGUUGCUCUGUAAUUCGAGAAAGGGAUGUCUCGGGACAGAGUACUCUGCCACAUUCAGCUGAGUCCGUUUCAACCCUUUAGGCAUAUUAUGAAGAGAUCUCGCAAAUGAAUGAAACACUGGUUAACCUUCUUGGUUUCUUCUCCAGAGUUUGAAUUGUUAUACUGAUCUCAAGCUAAUUCUCCCUCCUAAUAAAGAGAUUUCAAAUAUUUAGCUCACGAAUUAUUUUCACACACACACACACACACACACACAGCCUUAAUAUAGGGAUUUAUUGACUUUACUCCGGCAAAGUACUCAUAUUGAUUAAAAAAAAUAUUAUUUCUGAUGAAAUAUUUUUCACUCAAAUUGACCAACCCCUUUAUAUCUGUUCUGUCACUUAAUUGCAUCAUUUUAAUUGUUGAUAAAUAC